AUUGAACGCUGGCGGCAGGCCUAACACAUGCAAGUCGAGCGAGCGGCGGACGGGUGAGUAAUGUCUGGGAAACUGCCUGAUGGAGGGGGAUAACUACUGGAAACGGUAGCUAAUACCGCAUACCAUCAGAUGUGCCCAGAGGGGAUUAGCUAGUAGGUGGGGUAACGGCUAACCUAGGCGCCGAUCCCUAGCUGGUCUGAGAGGGUGACCAGCCAAACUGGAACUGAGACAGUGUCCAGACUCCUACGGAAGGCAGCAGUGGGGAAUAUUGCAAAAUGGGCGCAAGCCUGAAGGAGCCAUGCCGCGUGUGUGAAGAAGGCCUUCGGGUUGUAAAGCACUUUCAGCGGGGAGGCGUUACCCGCAGAAGAAGCACCGGCUAACUCCGUGCCAGCAGCCGCGGUAAUUC
rnacentral:rRNA from 1 species